rfam:Stegodyphus mimosarum contig43456, whole genome shotgun sequence.
GCCUUCGUGGUGUAAUGGUAGUACACUCGGCCGGUAUUCGAGAGGUCCAGGUUCGAGUACCGGGGAGGGCA